GAUUCUCCAUGGUCAUGCUUCUCCUGUUCACCUGGAAGUUUAUUGAUGGGAGGGAAGCCACUUCUGCUUUGAUGAUUUCUUGGAAGUUCAGCUAGGUGAAUUUACAAUACAAGUCAGAUUAUUUGCGAGAGAAUUUCAUUCCCUAGAAUCAUUGUCAUUCUUGUUGCCUACAAGGUACUUGAAGAAAAUGCCCGAGACAUAUUUUAAGGAGUAUAAUUCAGCACUAAGGCUAUUAUUACAACGAUGGAAUCUUUGUUGUGGUAGUUAUGUCUCCAAAUGCGUCGAUCCCUAUCGGCUACUGAAGUAAACUUAUUUAUUUUUUCUGUGUCGAUUUCUAUUGGCUUACUGAUAGGUUAUUUAUUCUUUUCGAAUUUUAA